AUUGAACGCUGGCGGCAGGCCUAACACAUGCAAGUCGAGCGGUAGCACAGAGAGCUUGCUCUCGGGUGACGAGCGGCGGACGGGUGAGUAAUGUCUGGGAAACUGCCUGAUGGAGGGGGAUAACUACUGGAAACGGUAGCUAAUACCGCAUAACGUCGCAAGACCAAAGUGGGGGACCUUCGGGCCUCAUGCCAUCAGAUGUGCCCAGAUGGGAUUAGCUAGUAGGUGGGGUAACGGCUCACCUAGGCGACGAUCCCUAGCUGGUCUGAGAGGAUGGCCAGCCACACUGUAACUGAGACACGGUCCAGACUCCUACGGGAGGCAGCAGUGGGGAAUAUUGGACGAUGGGCGCAAGCCUGAUGCAGCCAUGCCGCGUGUGUGAAGAAGGCCUUCGGGUUGUAAAGCACUUUCAGCGGGGAGGAAGGCGGUGAGGUUAAUAACCUCAUCGAUUGACGUUACCCGCAGAAGAAGCACCGGCUAACUCCGUGCCAGCCGCCGCCGUAA
rnacentral:rRNA from 1 species